ACAACCCGCCGAAAGGCGGGCUAAACCCGCGUACAUGCCACCGGGGCAUCCCGGAGGCAGGAAAGGCUUCGGCCGGACAGGGAUGGGCAUGCGGCGCAUUAGGCAGUAGGCGGGGUAACGGCCCACCUAACCGACGAUGCGUAGGGGUUCUGAGAGGAAGGUCCCCCACACUGGUACUGAGACACGGACCAGACUCCUACGGGAGGCAGCAGUGAGGAAUAUUGGUCAAUGGUCGGGAGACUGAACCAGCCAAGCCGCGUGAGGGAUGAAGGUACAGAGUAUCGUAAACCUCUUUUGUCAGGGAACAAAGGCGGGGACGUGUCCCCGGAUGAGUGUACCUGAAGAAAAAGCAUCGGCUAACUCCGUGCCAGCAGCCGCGGUAAUACGGAGGAUGCGAGCGUUAUCCGGAUUUAUUGGGUUUAAAGGGUGCGCAGGCGGUCUGUUAAGUCAGCGGUCAAAGCCCGGGGCUCAACCCCGGCCCGCCGUUGAAACUGGCAGUCUCGAGUUGGAGAGAAGUAUGCGGAAUGCGCGGUGUAGCGGUGAAAUGCAUAGAUAUCGCGCAGAACUCCGAUUGCGAAGGCAGCAUGCCGGCUCCACACUGACGCUGAGGCACGAAAGCGUGGGUAUCGAACAGGAUUAGAUACCCUGGUAGUCCACGCAGUAAACGAUGAAUGCUGGCUGUCCGGGGGGGAUUGACCCCUGGGUG
rnacentral:rRNA from 1 species